rnacentral:rRNA from 1 species
AAUAUUGGACAAUGGGCGAAAGCCUGAUCCAGCCAUGCCGCGUGUGUGAAGAAGGUCUUCGGAUUNUAAAGCACUUUAAGUUGGGANGAAGGGGUUGAAGCUAAUACCUUCAAUCUUUGACGUUACUAACAGAAUAAGCACCGGCUAACUCUGUGCCAGCAGCCGCGUUAAUACAGAGGGUGCAAGCGUUAAUCGGAAUUACUGGGCGUAAAGCGCGCGUAGGUGGUUCAGUAAGAUAGAAGUGAAAUCCACGGGCUUAACCUGGGAACUGCUUUCAUAGAUGCUGAGCUAGAGUACGGUAGAAGGUAGUGGAAUUUCCUGUGUAGCGGUGAAAUGCGUAGAUAUAGGAAGGAACACCAGUGGAGAAGGCGACUACCUGGACUGAUACUGACACUGAGGUGCGAAAGCGUGGGGAGCAAAC